CAUCAACCGGCCCUUCUGGGCGGGACCGCUGGGGACACAUUACGCAUGCGCCUCUCCAUGUGGGCGGGGCCGCUGGGGGGACUUCAUUUCCUUAUGCAGUAGUAAGGAGAAGCAAGAAACAAAGAGCUAUUGUCAAUUGCUCACAUUAGCACUGCUGUGGGAAUAGCUGAAGUACAGAAUGCAUUUCAGUGAUGGACAGAAAUGUCUGAAGUCCUGGUGAGUGGAUCUUUGUGCUAGAACAUAAUACAAGACCCAAGGGAGACGUUGGGAUCCUGCUGAACUUGUGAAGGGGAAAGACGUGCAGCUUGAUGCUAUUUCUAUCCGUUGGGGCCUCUCUUCUUUUCUAUUUGCUUCUAUAUUUUUAAAUUAAAGUAAUGAGGCAUAAAAAGGAGACCAGUGAAUUAGACAGAGCUUCCUCUUAAGUGACAGUAUUUGAUGCACUGACUCUUGUAUAUAAACUCUUAGUAUCAAACCUGGAAGGUAUCUAUAUAGUUUGACUAUCAAUUGUUUAUCUCAAGCAAGGAUCAAGGCUGUGUAGAGGAGAAAAUGGUUUGUUCAUUUCAAGGAGCACAAGAAUUGAUGACAAAGAAAAAUUAAUAGAUGUAAAAUACAGCUGCAGAACUCCCCUCCCCUUCCCCCUUCCUUGGUGAGACUAGUGGUUGCUUCAUUCACAUAAUCUAAGUCAGUGGUCACCUACCACUGUAUCUUGAUCCACCAGUAGAUCUUGGAGGCUCUUGGAGUCAAUCCAAGGCUGGGGUGGGAGGGCUGAGCGCCCGCAUGCAUGCAUGCACACACCCCAGCUCAUCAGGUUAGUCUGUGGGGGAUGGUAAGGGUCGGGGCUGGAUUGAGGCUCCUGCAGUAAGGGACUACAGUGUUGCAGAGGCAGGAGCAGGGGUAAGUAGAGUGGGGCCCUGCCCAGGUGGGACUUACCUGCUGGGGAGGCAUGUCCCCAAAUUUUUUCUGCUCCCCUCUUCCCUCCCCACAGGCUUACCCACUGGAUGGGGUAGGGGGCAGGGGGCUCAUGGUAGAUUUUGGGUUGCUUUUACAUGCCAGAGGUGAUCUCCUACUUAAAAAGGUUGGAGAUGACUGAUGUAAGUUGUGGUGAGGCUUCAUUUAACAGAACCUAUUGCACAAUUGUGCAAAUUAUGUUCCUCUGACCAUAUCACCUAUCAUCCCUGCCCACUAAGUUCUCUCUCCUGGAACUACUUCUGACUUGAGUUAGAAGGAACUUUAGUUUCCUUUUCCCCUGCCUCCAAAAAAGAUUACAGUCUGAAACAUGUCCUUCCCCCCUACGCCCAAAUGUUGACUUGCUCACUGCUAAGAAUUAUGCUGGCUAGAGGCCCAAGUCAGGACAUGUUUGGUCUGAGAACAUUGUUCUCAGGUAUAACAUACAACCUGACGGGACUGGAAACAGACACUUGUCACUGGAAAGGGCAAGAUUCACAGCUUUCAGCUGGGCUAGACCUCAUUUCCUUUUAGUCUUGGAUGGUUUUGAGCUACUGGAUCACAAAUUUAUUAAUUUUGGGAGUUGAGAAAAACUAUAAAUUCUAAAAAGUUUGUAAUGAAAGACCUUAUCAAGAGAGAUCCUAGGUGUAGUAUUAAAUUGCAAUGGUAACCUUAAUUCUGGCACUCUUUUAGAACUAUAACAUUCUAUAAUAAAUUUAAACUGAAAUUUCCAGUGUGGUGUUGAGCUCGUUUUGAUACUGGAGGAACCCCCUUGCUCCCUUCCAGGCCUUCUACAAAAACAAAUACAAAAAAAAAUCCAUCCCAUCUAACUGCGAUAUCCCUUGCAAGGGUGGUAUAUAAACACAACUUGAACCUAAGAACUUCCAAUUUCCACUUAAGAUAAAGGAAUAACAAAAAGUGAUAAUAGUAUGCUAUUGGCCCCUGAAAGGUGACCCAUGUUUCUUUCAAGUGGAUUACAUAAGCAUUUGUUAGACUGCAACAUAGUGUUAGGAAUCAUGAUUCCUGGCUCAAAACAAGGUUUGCUAGUUAAUUUGUUAAGGAUGUCUUUGCAUUUAUUGCACUUAUUCAUCUGUGGGUGUCAAAGAAACUUGAAAGUGGAUAUUUAGGAACACUCUAACUUCCUCUGGCACAGAGCAUGACCAAAACCUUGGAUUCAGUAUAUUAAUUGUGAGAAGCAUUACGGCUAAGUGAGUAAGAUUGUGGCCUGCUUUGUGAGAGGCCUGGGAAGACUCUAGCUCUGCCAGAAUUGACCUUGUGUAACCUCUUGGAGUUCAGUUUCUCAAUUACCUUCUGUUUUUGAGAGAGAGGGGAAAUGAUGCCUGACUACCUCCUCAGGUAGACUUAUGAGGCCUUGAUCUGUAAUAAGAGCUGAGAAGUGUUCAGAAUUAUUAACGCAUAUCAGUGGAAGGAAGGACAGCACAGCAUCCUUUUUAGACCAGUUAGAGGUUUUUUUAAAUGAAAGAAAAGUAACUUUUGUGAUUUUUGUUAAAGAUGACCUUGUUAGAGGAUGUCGGCAUGUAAAUAAAAGGUAUGGGGGAACUGCA